ensembl:snRNA Gm23535 U6 spliceosomal RNA
GUCCUCACUUUGGCAGCAUGCAUACUAAAAUUGGAUGGAUACAAAGAAGAUUAUUGUGUCUCUGCAUAAGGAGGGCAUGUAAAUUCAUGAGGUAUUUCAUAAUUUA